CUUGACUUUAUGGGAAGAAUAUUGUUAUGUCUAAACUUCCACCUCUCUAUGCAAACCCGCCUCCCAAAUUCUCAGGCACUAAGAUGGGG